rnacentral:tRNA from 1 species
UCCCUGGUGGUCCACUGGUUAAGACUCUGUGCUUCCAAUGCAGAGGGCACAGGUUUGAUCCCUGGUCAGGGAA